rnacentral:rRNA from 1 species
GGCGGCGUGCCUAAUACAUGCAAGUCGAACGUUCACUUCGGGAAACUGGGGUGGGCGUGGCAGACGGGUGAGUAACACAUGGCUGACCUGCCCUUCAGAGGGGGACAACGGCUGGAAACGGUCGCUAAUACCCCGUGCGGUCUCGAAGGUUAGAGGCUUUGAGACGAAAGCGUGCAAACGUGCUGAAGGAGGGGGCUGUGGCCCAUCAGCUGGUUGGUAGGGUAAUGGCCUACCAAGGCGAGGACGGGUAGGGGGGCUGAGAGGGUGAUCCCCCACACUGGAACUGAGAGACGGUCCAGACUCCUACGGGAGGCAGCAGUAAGGGAUAUUGCGCAAAUGGGCGAAAGCCUGACGCAGCAACGCCGCGUGCGGGAUGACGGCCUUCGGGUUGUAAACCGCUUUUCGAGGGGAAGAGGCAGGACGGUACCCUCGGAAGAAGUCUCGGCUAACUACGUGCCAGCAGCCGCGGUAAAACGUAGGAGGCGAGCGUUAUCCGGAUUUACUGGGUGUAAAGCGCGUGCAGGCGGUCGGGUAAGUCGUAUGUGAAAGCGCCUGGCUCAACCGGGCGAGGACGUAGGAUACUGCCGGACUGGAGGCAGGGAGAGGCGCGUGGAAUUCCGGGUGUAGUGGUGAAAUGCGUAGAGAUCCGGAGGAACACCAGUGGCGAAGGCGGCGCGCUGGACCUGACCUGACGCUCAGACGCGACAGCACGGGGAGCGAACGGGAUUAGAAACCCCGGUAGUCCGUGCCGUAAACGAUGCCGACUAGGUGUGGGCGCAGCGAUGCGUCUGUGCCGCAGCGAACGUGAUAAGUCGGCCACCUGGGGAGUACGGCCGCUAGGUUAAAACUCAAAGGAAUUGACGGGGGCCCGCACAAGCAGCGGAGCGUGUGGUUUAAUUCGAGCCUACACGAAGAACCUUACCUGGGCUUGACAUGACGGUGGUAGGGAGACGAAAGUGGACCGACCUUCGGGAGCCGUCACAGGUGCUGCAUGGCUGUCGUCAGCUCGUGUCGUGAGAUGUCCGGUUAAGUCCGGUAACGAGCGCAACCCUCAGGUUCAGUUACACGUGUCUGGACCGACUGCCCGUUGAACGCGGGAGGAAGGUGGGGACGACGUCAAGUCAGCAUGGCCUUGAUGUCCAGGGCGACACACACGCUACAAUGGCCGGUACAAUGGGUGGCCAACCGGCGACGGGGAGCCAAUCCAAGAAAGCUGGUCUCAGUUCGGAUUGCAGGCUGCAACCCGCCUGCAUGAAGGAGGAGUUGCUAGUAACCGCCGGUCAGCUAUACGGCGGUGAAUACGUUCCCGGGCCUUGUACACACCGCCCGUCACGUCAUGGGAGCUGGUCAUGCCUGAAGUCGGUGGGCGAACCGCAAGGACGCAGCCGCCU